rnacentral:rRNA from 1 species
CCUACGGGGGGCUGCAGUGGGGAAUAUUGGACAAUGGGGGGAACCCUGAUCCAGCCAUGCCGCGUGUGUGAAGAAGGCCCUCGGGUUGUAAAGCACUUCAGUGAGGAAGAACGCCUGGUGGUUAAUACCCAUCAGGAAAGACAUCACUCACAGAAGAAGCACCGGCUAACUCCGUGCCAGCAGCCGCGGUAAUACGGAGGGUGCGAGCGUUAAUCGGAAUUACUGGGCGUAAAGCGCGCGUAGGUGGCUCGAUAAGCCGGUUGUGAAAGCCCCGGGCUCAACCUGGGAACGGCAUCCGGAACUGUCAAGCUAGAGUGCAGGAGAGGAAGGUAGAAUUCCCGGUGUAGCGGUGAAAUGCGUAGAGAUCGGGAGGAAUACCAGUGGCGAAGGCGGCCUUCUGGACUGACACUGACACUGAGGUGCGAAAGCGUGGGUAGCAAACAGGAUUAGAUACCCUGGUAGUC